rnacentral:tRNA from 1 species
UGGAAGAGUGGCAGAGCGGCCGAAUGCACCUGUCUUGAAAACAGACGACGGGCAACCGUCCGGGGGUUCGAAUCCCUCCUCUUCCGA